UAGGAUUGUAUCCCUUUGAAGAGAAAACAUGCUCCAAUUGAUCUGCUCAAGGAGAGUUAAUUUUCUUCUAUUUAAAAGAGUAGCUUUUGGCAGAACUGGAACAAACAAUCCUAAAAUUUGUAUGGAACAAUAAAGGAAUGUGAAUAGCCAAAGCAAACUUGAGAAAGAAGAACAAAGCUGGAAUUUCACAAUCACAGAUUUCAAGAUUUAUUGCAGAACUAUAGUAAACAAAACUAUGUUAUUGGCACAAAAAUGCUCAUGUAGAUCAAUGAAACAGAAUAAAGAGCCUAGAAAUAAACCCAUGCUAUAUGGUCAAUUAAUCUAUAACAAAGG
rnacentral:lncRNA from 1 species